UGGACACUUUCAGGGCCUUGGAGGUGAUGAAAUAUUCAGUGGUCUGGAUGUUGCUGGCUGGUGGCCUGUGGGGACUGGACGUGUGCUCUGUCCUGGCAGUGCUUUCCAAUACCUCCUGCAUCUUCCCCUUUUCCUAUAUGGAUGGCAUACACUUCUCCUGCACCUCCAUCCACAGUGACUAUGACUGGUGCUCCCUGGACAGCACCUUCCGAGGCCGGUGGCGCUACUGUACAGCCAAAGAUCCCCCAGUGUGUGUAUUCCCCUUCACCUUCAAAAAAUGGUGCUUCCGCCAGUGCACCAAGAAAGGCUAUGUCCUCGGCCGGAGCUGGUGUUCACUGACCCACAACUUCAACAAGGACAGAAAAUGGAAGCAGUGCUCUCCUCAACAGUGAGAGCUGGGAAGAGUGGAGCAGGGGCUUGAAGAAUGGUGGAAAUGGGGAGUGCUGUGGGUGGAUGGAUGUACUUAGAUAAUCCAGGUGGUUUAGAAGAGUCUGAAGUUGUAGAUUCCUCAGCUGCCUCUCCAAAUAUCAUCCCACCGCUGGGUACCUGUGGCUCACACUUAUCCUCCCAGCUCACGCCCAUCAUUCCAGCUACUGCGGAGGCUGAGAUCUAGAGGAUCACAGUCUGAACUGAGCCUGCGGAGGAAAGUCCAUGAGACUUUUACCUCCACCAAACCAGCAAAAGAACUGUAAUGGAGUUGUGGUUUCAAGCCAUAGAAACGCUAACCUUGAAGGAAAAGGCUCAGGGACUGUGUCCAGGCCCUGAGUUCAAGCCCCAGGACCAGCACCAAAACAUAAAAUAAAUAAAUAAA